GAACUCCAUCAGCCUUUAUCAGGAUGAGAAACCCUAAUCGCCAAAACCCUUUAUUUAAACGUUGUUUGCUGUGCAAUGCUUUGCCAAUCUCGAUCUUCUUGAAAGCGAUGAUUUCCUUUCACCUUCUCGAUUCAUAGUCUCCUCUCUUACUUCCGGACGAGAAAGAAUUUGUCUACGAAAGUUGCACACCUUUGCCAUCUUCUUCAGGCUCCAUUGAGGGUUCUUUCGCAUUUGUCUCCGGAAGAUUAGAUUGAGUGUAGAAGUUCCACCAGCUGUUUGUGAGGGUUGUUACAAAAGGGUCAUGAAUGAGUUUAUGAAGCAGUCAAAGGUACUUUUGUGUUACCAUCUAGUUUUUGCUUCUAUAUGGUAUGAUGUGAUGGUUAGACUCACAAAAUUUCCUUAAUGAACAUCUUGCAUACAAGCAGGUCCAACAAUUUCUUGGUAUUGUAAAUUACAUGGCCAAUUUUAUUCCUAAUAUGUCCAAAUACAGGACUCCUUUGGCAGCCCAAUUAAGGAAGAAUGCUCCCUAGUGAGAUGGGAUGAAACACACUGUUGCAGUUAUCUCUAUGAGAAAACUCUCCAAAACACACCCUCCAUUUAAAAUGUCCCUAAUAUCUCAGACACAAGUCUUCAGAGCAGUGGGACUUUUACCCUGCUAACUCUUAUUGUGAUUGCAUGAGGUUCCUCCUUAGUCACACAGCUCAUAACAAGUAUUAGAUAGAGAAUCUUUACAAAGAGUUAGUUAUCUGACAAAACAUAAAUUAACAAUAUUUUAUGUGUCUAUAUGAUCAUUUAUCUGUUGUGCAUUUAAUUUAUGAGUUUUGUGUUA